rnacentral:rRNA from 1 species
AGAGUUUGAUCCUGGCUCAGGAUGAACGCUGGCGGCGUGCCUAACACAUGCAAGUCGAACGAAGCAUUUCCUUCGGGGUAUGACUGAGUGGCGGACGGGUGAGUAACGCGUGGGUAACCUGCCCUGUACAGGGGGAUAACAGUUAGAAAUGACUGCUAAUACCGCAUAAGCGCACGAGAAGACAUCUUUUUGUGUGAAAAACUCCGGUGGUACAGGAUGGGCCCGCGUCUGAUUAGCUAGUUGGCAGGGUAAUGGCCUACCAAGGCGACGAUCAGUAGCCGGUCUGAGAGGAUGAACGGCCACAUUGGAACUGAGACACGGUCCAAACUCCUACGGGAGGCAGCAGUGGGGAAUAUUGCACAAUGGGGGAAACCCUGAUGCAGCAACGCCGCGUGAGUGAAGAAGUAUUUCGGUAUGUAAAGCUCUAUCAGCAGGGAAGAUAAUGACGGUACCUGACUAAGAAGCUCCGGCUAAAUACGUGCCAGCAGCCGCGGUAAUACGUAUGGAGCAAGCGUUAUCCGGAUUUACUGGGUGUAAAGGGUGUGUAGGCGGCAUGGCAAGUCAGAAGUGAAAGACCGGGGCUCAACCCCGGGGCUGCUUUUGAAACUGUCGUGCUCGAGUCCAGGAGGGGCAAGCGGAAUUCCCAGUGUAGCGGUGAAAUGCGUAGAUAUUGGGAAGAACACCGGUGGCGAAGGCGGCUUGCUGGACUGGGACUGACGCUGAGGCACGAAAGCGUGGGGAGCAAACCAGGAUUAGAUACCCUGGUAGUCCACGCCGUAAACGAUGAAUAACUAGGUGUCGGGG